UACGUAGGUGACAAGCGUUGUCCGGAUUUACUGGGCGUAAAGAGCGCGCAGGCGGUCGUUCAAGUCGAGUGUGAAAGCCCCCGGCUCAACUGGGGAGGGUCAUUCGAUACUGAUCGACUCGAAGGCAGGAGAGGGAAGUGGAAUUCCCGGUGUAGUGGUGAAAUGCGUAGACAUCGGGAGGAACACCAGUGGCGAAGGCGACUUCCUGGCCUGUUCUUGACGCUGAGGCGCGAAAGCUAGGGGAGCAAACGGG
rnacentral:rRNA from 1 species